UACGGAGGAUGCGAGCGUUAUCCGGAUUUAUUGGGUUUAAAGGGUGCGCAGGCGGCACGGCAAGCCGGCGGUCAAAUCGCGGGGCUCAACCCCGCCCAGCCGUCGGAACUGCCGGGCUAGAGUGGGCGAGAAGUGCGCGGAAUGCGUGGUGUAGCGGUGAAAUGCAGAGAUAUCACGCAGAACUCCGAUUGCGAAGGCAGCGCACCGGCGCCCUACUGACGCUCAGGCACGAAAGCGUGGGUAUCGAACAGG
rnacentral:rRNA from 1 species